UGGCCUGCUCCACCCCCAUACUCACCUGGGCCUCAUCAGCUAAUCAGCCCCUCAGUAUUUGUACAGAUCAUUUUCCCUCAGUUCUUUGCCAGAUUGUCUAGUGUGUUAACCUAGCUCUCCAGUGUUCUAUCAUUUGAUUCUGAUUCUGAUUCUGAUCCUGCCUGUUUGUGAUUUGACCUGCCUUUUUAGACUUUGGACUCUCCCUUUUAACUGCUCCUUUUGGAUUUGUUUGCUUUGCUGACUGAUCACCUGGUUUGACCUUCGCUUUGUAUUAAAACCUAUUUUUGCACCUGAACUGUUUUUGUGUCAUGCUGUUGGGUUCUUGCCUGCCGUUGUGUGAAGCCUGACAUACUCUGCCACAUCUGCAUGCCACAAAACACAGAGUUAUUUGUAAAGAAGUCCAAACAUCAGCAGGACCACACUAUCUCCAGCAUGAAGCCUGCUAAUGGCAGUAUCCUGCUGUGGGGAUGUCUCAGCAGCUGCAACAACACAGGAAAUAAUUGGACUCACAAGGUCAAAGCAUUGUCCUGAUGACCCCCUCAGACUGCUGCUGAGUGUCAGUGGCCCAAAAUAUGUAGACACACAUUCAAACUAGCUCACAUUAGGGUUUGAUAUAGGUUUAUUUGUUCAGCACUGGCAUUGGACAUAAUUCUGGUGCUGCCUCUUCUCCUCUGUUGAUCAACUUGUCAUCAAUGUUAGAUUCUCUGUUACUGUAUUUAAAAUAUUUCGCUGUUAUCUGAGGAUAAUAAAUGAAUAUGCAAGGAGUGCAAGUUAAGAAAAACUAUCAGAGAAUGUAAUACAAAAGAUGGUGUUAACUGAAAUUUGUUGUCUGAUCUUGCUUGUCCAUUUAACUUGUUAAAUAAAGUAAGCUGAGUAUGUUCAUA